CCUACGGGAGGCUGCAGUGAGGAAUAUUGGUCAAUGGUCGGGAGACUGAACCAGCCAAGCCGCGUGAGGGAUGAAGGUACAGAGUAUCGUAAACCUCUUUUGUCAGGGAACAAAGGCGGGGACGUGUCCCCGGAUGAGUGUACCUGAAGAAAAAGCAUCGGCUAACUCCGUGCCAGCAGCCGCGGUAAUCCGGAGGAUGCGAGCGUUAUCCGGAUUGAUUGGGUUAAAAGGGUGCGCAGGCGGUCUGUUAAGUCAGCGGUCAAAGCCCGGGGCUCAACCCCGGCCCGCCGUUGAAACUGGCAGUCUCGAGUUGGAGAGAAGUAUGCGGAAUGCGCGGUGUAGCGGUGAAAUGCAUAGAUAUCGCGCAGAACUCCGAUUGCGAAGGCAGCAUGCCGGCUCCACACUGACGCUGAGGCACGAAAGCGUGGGUAUCGAACAGGAUUAGAUACCCGGGUAGUC
rnacentral:rRNA from 1 species